rnacentral:sRNA from 1 species
GCUACAUAGCGUUAUUCCUCAUAAUCAUCAUCAUCCUCUCAAACGGUCAACGCAAGCCUGAACAUCACUCCUAGCCCCAGCAGGCUCCACAACACACCUUUCUGCUGCAUACCGACACUGCCGGUCGAUUGUGCCCCGCUAGAAGAGCUCAAAGUGGUCCCAUUAAUAGCCGCUUCUUCCGAGGUGAUGGGCAUUCUUUUGCUGUGAAGAAGGGUGACGUUCGUGGUCAAAGGCGCAAACCCGAUAGCUGUGGGUUCGUAUCGGAAGGAGGUGUAUACGUUUUUGAGGAAUGCGGCGCCGACAAUCCAUUGGACUGGAGAUUUCGGAGACCUGCAUACACAACAUGGCGUUAUUUCCUAAUAAAGGGACAGAGAAAAUGUACUAGCUUACACAUCUUGCCCAAAGAACGUUCCAAUACAGAUCUUGCCAUCAUCGGUAAAAGUCCCAAAAUUCAUGUCCGUAUUGGAGAUUCCAUACUCUACGCCGCCAAACUUGAGUUUCACAUCAACAUUGGUAUCGCACGGGUACUGAUAAUAUCCCUCUUGCCCCAUAACCGAGGUUGGCACUUUGGAGGAGCCGGGGAUUUGGGCAUAAAUCGCAGCGGCCAUGUCAGUCGGCACGCCGAUGAGGGUGGUGCCAGUAUCGAUAGCACAAGCAGGGGCCUUGCCGCCGGUUAGGAGGCCUUUAGACUGAGGGCAAGAUUAGACAGUGUCAUGGCGAGCAAAAUUUGGGAAGACUAACGACAUCGAUAGGGUUCCCACCCACUGUCAUACCCUCCAAAGGAAGCUUCCAAAAAUCCCUCUUCCCUGGUCCGAUUGGAGUGUAAUUCAAAUCACCCUCAAACUUGGUUGAAUCGACCCCGCUAUCAGGCAGUUUUAGCGUUCGUUUUUCUCUCACAACAAUGGAUCCUUACCCAAAAAUAAAAUGCCCCCCAUCAAACUCAAUCAUCUGGGCGCUGCUAUUACCUUUGAAUCUGGCGAGGUAAACACCCAUCUCUGGUGAAUCCCAAGUACCAGAUGAAGCCAAGGCUUGCCAAAAUGGGGUUGAGUAAGAGGACGCAAUGGUGUUCCACGCCAGACCCAAAAGACCUGAUGUGGGGUAAUCGAUCAGACCGUCAACAGCUUGAGUCACCACAGCUUUUAGAAAUAUAUUUAGCGAACUUGUUUGAACUUCAGCGACGGGACAUACCAAACGCUUGCUCACGGAUCGUGAACCCCCCAGUUGAGACGGUGUCAUUUGCUAAAUAGCCUCCCGCAUUACCGGAUCCGUAAGCAAUGCUGAACUGCUUUUUUUCAGUUUCGAAUGUGAAUGAAUUGCUGGCAUCAAAGGUGUAUGUCUUGGAGCAAAAGUCGGCGGUACAUCCUUUCUCCGCCACCCAGCUACAAAAGCCAUCGGGGUCAGUGCUCUACAGAAGAAGCGACGUAGAGUGCGUCGGAUUCAAUUUCUCACAGAUCAGACGAUCCAGUAUCCAUGAUGACAAUGAACUGCUGAGGUGGGGUGCUGUAAAAGUCAGCGGACAAAUCGACAGUCAAGCAAAGUUUCAGCGUUAGCUCACCCAAUCUCUAUAGGAGCACUGUAUAAACCGUCAAGGCCAAUAUCAAUCAAGCUAGAAUGCAUUGUCAGUAGGUGAGUAUGUUGAAUCAUUCAACACUCACUCUAUAGACUGUUGAGCUCUUUUCAUCUGUCCUUCUUUUUCCAUUCUAUCCCUCUUUAACAGCUCCUUCCCCUUCUCGUUGAGAUAUGGCUCGUAUUUUGCCCUCAUAGAUUUUGCCUGGCUGAUCAGCCAUGCUUGACGUUGUGAGAGAUCAUCAGAGUGCUGGCGAGAUUCGAGCACUUUCAAUGGUAGAUGGAGGGAAGAAGGGACCUUAGGCAACGUUGCUGCAAGGGUGAGUGGUAGGAGAGCGAGGGAAAUGAGCAUGGCAGAUACCAAGGGCAGGCAAUGGGUUUCUUCGGGUUCAGAGUAAUAGGAACAUGAAAUAUAAAGAGUUGCCUUGUUUACGAGUUCUUUGCCAAGUUGAAUGUUUGUGCAAGCAG